rnacentral:rRNA from 1 species
AUUGAACGCUGGCGGCAUGCUUUACACAUGCAAGUCGAACGGCAGCGCGGGCUUCGGCCUGGCGGCGAGUGGCGAACGGGUGAGUAAUGCAUCGGAACGUGCCCAGUAGUGGGGGAUAGCCCGGCGAAAGCCGGAUUAAUACCGCAUACGACCUGAGGGUGAAAGCGGGGGACCGAAAGGCCUCGCGCUAUUGGAGCGGCCGAUGUCGGAUUAGCUAGUUGGUGGGGUAAAGGCUUACCAAGGCGACGAUCCGUAGCUGGUCUGAGAGGACGACCAGCCACACUGGGACUGAGACACGGCCCAGACUCCUACGGGAGGCAGCAGUGGGGAAUUUUGGACAAUGGGGGCAACCCUGAUCCAGCCAUGCCGCGUGCGGGAAGAAGGCCUUCGGGUUGUAAACCGCUUUUGUUCGGGAAGAAAUCCUCUGGGCUAAUACCCCGGGGGGAAUGACGGUACCGGAAGAAUAAGCACCGGCUAACUACGUG